AGUGAGGACAACAGCUCUUCGUGUAGCCUUACUGUAGAGAAGCUUCAGCUUUGGCUUAACUCUCAGCAGCUUUGGGUGGCUCAUUUCUGCUUUUAGAGGUGUCCUUGGGUAAGGUGGACCUCCACCUCCCUCCAGCUGGAUGGGCCAAGCCCACAAAUAUGCCUGGGGACUUGUUUGAAUGCAAAUUUUUGGGAUCCCCUGGGCUGGGGCACUGCCAUGUCACCUUAAUGAGCCCCAAAGAGGAUUGUGGGUGUGCAGAACAGGGGUGGUGGGUCCCAGGGUGAGCUCCUCCAAGCAGCAAUCUCAUCCCCUGAGAUCAGAUGUGCAACGCUCUCUUGGAAGUCUUUUUACCCAUGAAAUGCAAUCCAUCAGGGAAAGAAGAAACGCAAUUCUUUAGCAGCUGAAGCCCAGAGCAAGGUAAGCUUGUCCAGGAAGCCUGGGGAAAAGGCAGCUGACUUUGAAGGCAGAUCUGUUUUACUUAUUUUGAAGUAGGAAGAUUCUACAAGGGCAACUUUUCUCCAGUCCUGCAGGGUGGCUCCAGGAUAUAUGAAUAUUGGGGGGUCGGGCUGCGCCUGUGUGUCCUCUGGGUCCCCUGUCUGGUGACUCCCGGGGUGGGCGUGUGUGGGGGGCUCGGGCCACAUUUAAGCGUCCUCUGGGUUCCCUGCACGAUGACUCCCAGGGUGGAUGUGUUUGCAGGUUCGGCCUGCAUUUGUGUCCCCCGGUUCUCCUGCGUCCCCUGUUGAAGGCUGACGAUAGGUUCACAACAGCCACCUAUACCCGGGGCAAGCGCGACACGGCGGUGACAGCUGGGACGAGUAAGAACGUUCCGGGCACAGAGAGGACCCCGCUUCCUGGUGAGGCGGAGUUCCACAAGGCCGCCUGGUUUCUCCACGCUGGCCGCGCUCUCAGCACCGGCACACACGAUCUUUCGCCGAGUUCUCAGUGACCCCGGCUCUAGAGACCCGAGGGGUGCUCCGAGGUCCCUUUAACCCCGAAAACUUUCUCCCUCCACUCGCGACCCCCGCUGCGCGCACAUUGGUGGACCGCCACACUGGGCCCGCCUUCGCCCUCACCGAUUGGUUCCCACAAGCAUCCAUCCCUGAGAGAGGCUUCCUAUGAGACUGCUCUCUUGCCCAUCAAAGAUGGGCGGGUCGGGUGCGACUCACUACCCUCAGCACCCUCCUUGCCUCUCGAGGGGGCCGGACCGGAGCCGCCAGAAGCCGAGGCUGCACGGGGCUCCAGAGACUCACCGAUGCGCUGUCCCACCGGGGAGCUGAACGGGUUUCCCAAGAGAAAGUCCAUGGCCGCGGCAGUCGCUGCCACUAACCGGGUAAUCAGCUGACAGCAACCGCCGGCGCCGCCAACCCGUGACGUGACGCGCCAGCGGCUGGAGGAGAGGCCGAGCGCUCAGGGCAGGUCUCCGCCCAGAUGCGUCACGCACGCGGGGCGAGGCCGCCAAACCGGGUCCCGAGCGCGGCGCCGUGGUCCAGGGGCGUGGCCUAAGGGUCCGCGUCGGAAGCGGGAGGGGAUUGGUCCUUUCCCUGCGCCGGAAGUGGAGUUCGGGCGCUGUUCGCUUGCUGAGCUGCGGUGGCUUGGCGGAGUGGCCAGGCGUGGGCCGUCGGCAUGUAAACACGAGUCCCCAUUCUCUCUGCUUGAGAUCCAAGACUUGGCACCAUUGUUUUGCAAGGUGCUCCACGGGGCUGGAGGACUCCGCCUCUUCUGGUCGUAACUAUGGAAAUGUAAGCGACGUAGUCCACCUUUCCGUAGAGGCUCCUGCACUGUAGCCAUGUACAUUUACGAUGACCUUCAUAUUAAGGUUGCUUGGGACUACAGAAAAUGUUCACAGUUCUGUUUGCCAGUAAACAGCAAGGACUAUCAGAUGCUCGGGCUUUGCAAUUUGUUUAUUUUAUUUUAUUUUGUCUUUUUCCUUUUUAUCAGUACCAGGGAUCGAACUCAUGACUGCCUGCUUGCAAGGCAGGUGCUUAUGCCGCUGAGCUAAAUCCCCACUCAGCCCCAUGGCUUUGCAAUUUGUAAAAGACAGUGAAGAGCAUUUACAGUGUAAAAGUUAAUUAAUGGUAAGAUGGUUGGUAGGAAAAUGGCUGAAGUUAGUAAUUUCACUUCUACUUCAAAUUCUUUAUUUUGGAGAAAAUUACAGUACAACAAAAGGUGAAAAACAGCUAAAUUUUAUAAUUUCAUAGCAAGUCUGAUAAGCAUGAUUAGGGAAAAGACAGCUGAGACUAAACUACAAAUAUUAAAAAUGUGAUUUUUAAUAAUAUAAGUACAAAAUUUUAUUUCUUUAUACAAUCAUAAUGACAUUUGGGUCAAGCCACUGGAAUUUAAAAAAACAAAAUAAAACAAGGAUAUAAAAACUGCAAGAA